rnacentral:lncRNA from 1 species
CUGUGGAGGUCCACUCGUGUGAAGGAACUGGGCAGAGGCUUAGGUUUCUUGGGUUGGAUUGGGCUGAAUUGGCGGGAAAUCAGCAAUUGGUUUCUAAAUCCUGGACAUCGAGGGUUUUUGUUUCAGACGCGACGGUGGCAUUGACAGUGGUUUGACAGGUCCUGGACGUGACAGGCGGAAGUCAGUGGUGGGUGCCCGUCUGUGCGUGUCCAAGGCCUGUGGCAGCAGGAGGCCCUCUUCCGUGGACCACCUGGGACAGGUGAGGAGCUGGCACACCUUGUGUCCACGUGUGCAGGCUGAGUUAGUGGCACUUCCCAGCGCUUGGGCACAGGUCAUUGUGGCCUUGGCUGACUGACAGCAUCCCCUGACACCUGCUGGGCCUGGGCAAGAGGACGGAGCCGAGACAGCUGCACCGCCCGGCACCGCAACGGCAGCGCCCGGGAGCCGCCUCAGGCUCCUGCA